UGGCUCAGUGGAGACCAACAUGGGGCUUGAACUAAUGACCCUGAUAUCAACAUCUGAGCUGAGAUGGAGAGUCAGAGGCUUAACCAACUGAGCCACCCA